UACGUAGGGUGCGAGCGUUGUCCGGCAUUAUUGGGCGUAAAGAGCUUGUAGGCGGUCUGUCGCGUCUGCUGUGAAAAUCCGGGGCUCAACCCCGGACUUGCAGUGGGUACGGGCAGACUAGAGUGUGGUAGGGGAGACUGGAAUUCCUGGUGUAGCGGUGAAAUGCGCAGAUAUCAGGAGGAACACCGAUGGCGAAGGCAGGUCACUGGGCCGCAACUGACGCUGAGGAGCGAAAGCAUGGGGAGCGAACAGG
rnacentral:rRNA from 1 species